ACUAGACAGAGACGGGAGAGAGAGAGCAAGGUAAUAACUAGACAGAGACGGGAGACAGAAAGCAAGGUAAUAACUAGACAGAGAUCAAGGUAAUAACUAGUCAGACGGGAGAGAGAGAGCAAGGUAAUAACUAGACAGAGAUGGGAGAGAGAGAGCAAGGUAAUAACUAGACAGAGAGCAAGGUAAUAACUAGACAGAGAUGGGAGAGAGAGCAAGGUAAUAACUAGACAGAGAGCAAGGUAAUAACUAGACAGAGAUCAAGGUAAUAACUAGUCAGACUGGAGAGAGAGAGCAAGGUAAAUACUAGACAGAGAUGGGAGACAGAAAACAAGGUAAUAACUAGGCAGAGACGGGAGACAGAGAGCAAGGUAAUAACUAGACAGAGAGCAAUGUAAUAACUAGACAGAGACGGGAGACAGAAAGCAAGGUCAUAACUAGACAGAGAGCAAGGUAAUAACUAGACAGAGCGGGGAGAGAGAGAGCAAGGUAAUAACUAGACAGAGAGCAAGGUAAUAACUAGACAGAGACGGAGACAGAAAGCAAGGUAAUAACUAGACAGAGAGCAAGGUAAUAACUAGACAGAGACGGAGACAGAAAGCAAGGUAAUAACUAGACAGAGAGCAAGGUAAUAACUGGACAGAGACGGAGACAGAGAGCAAGGUAAUAACUGGACAGAGA